rnacentral:rRNA from 1 species
UACGGAGGGAGCUAGCGUUGUUCGGAAUUACUGGGCGUAAAGCGCGCGUAGGCGGCUUUGUAAGUUAGAGGUGAAAGCCCGGAGCUCAACUCCGGAACUGCCUUUAAGACUGCAUCGCUUGAAUCCGGGAGAGGUGAGUGGAAUUCCGAGUGUAGAGGUGAAAUUCCGUAGAUAUCGGGAGGAACACCAGUGGCGAAGGCGGCGAUCUGGGAAGAUACUGACGCUGAGGUGCGAAAGCGUGGGGAGCAAACAGG